rnacentral:rRNA from 1 species
UGGGGAAUUUUGCACAAUGGGGGAAACCCUGAUGCAGCGACGCCGCGUGAUUUAGAAGGCCUUCGGGUUGUAAAAAUCUUUUCUAUGGGAAGAAAUUGACAGUACCAUAGGAAUAAGGACCGGCUAAUUACGUGCCAGCAGCCGCGGUAAUACGUAAGGUCCGAGCGUUGUCCGGAAUCAUUGGGCGUAAAGGGUACGUAGGCGGGUAAGCAAGUUAGAAGUGAAAUCCUAUAGCUCAACUAUAGUAAGCUUUUAAAACUGCUCAUCUUGAGGUAUGGAAGGGAAAGUGGAAUUCCUAGUGUAGCGGUGAAAUGCGCAGAUAUUAGGAGGAAUACCGGUGGCGAAGGCGACUUUCUGGCCAUAACCUGACGCUGAGGUACGAAAGCGUGGGUAGCAAACAGG